AAAAUGAGCUGUAGUGACUUGAUGCCUGGCUAUUCCAUCAAAGCAAUGGUCUACUUAUAAUCUAACCACCACACAACUCAUUGAACUACAACCAUCUCAACAAGUAAAUCUCUCCGACUCUCUCCCCUUGCUGACUGCUACAUAUGCUGCCCUCGGGUGUGUUAUGUAUCCCACAAUGCAAUGGGAGCUUCCUCCAGCCAUCGGGUGUCUUUCGGAGAAAUGAAGAGAUGAACAUCCAUUCCGCCGAGUGUCUCAACCAGCCCUCGGAGGAACACGAAGGCUUGUGUUCUGGGCUUGUGUACAUGGGCUUCAGACAAAAGGCUGAGCCAGAAGCUUCAUAAGCCAGGAAUCCCCAGCAUGUAACCUGAGAGCUCUCACCUGACCAGGAGCUAGGAAAACCCAAGCUCCGAUGGGAGAAAAGAGCAUCAGAGGACACAAAUGUAAGAACCACCCACCAGUGACUUUACAACAGCCACCAGAACAAGACUUGUCUAAGAACU
rnacentral:lncRNA from 1 species